rnacentral:tRNA from 1 species
GAACAGGUAAGCUAAAUAAAGCUAUUAGGUUCAUACCCUGAGUAUAGGAAAUUAUAAUUCCUCCUGUUCA